rnacentral:rRNA from 1 species
CACGAACGCUGGCGGCAGGCUUAACACAUGCAAGUCGAACGCCCCGCAAGGGGAGUGGCAGACGGGUGAGUAACGCGUGGGAAUCUACCCUGAUCUGCGGGAUAGCUCCGGGAAACUGGAAUUAAUACCGCAUAUGUCCUGAGGGACAAAGAUUUAUCGGUUCAGGAUGAGCCCGCGUCCGAUAAGCUAGUUGGUGGGGUAAAGGCCUACCAAGGCGACGAUCGGUAGCUGGUCUAAGAGGAUGAUCAGCAACAUUGGGACUGAGACACGGCCCAAACUCCUACGGGAGGCAGCAGUGGGGAAUAUUGGACAAUGGGCGCAAGCCUGAUCCAGCCAUGCCGCGUGAGUGAUGAAGGUCUUAGGAUUGUAAAGCUCUUUCACCGGGGACGAUAAUGACGGUACCCGGAGAAGAAGCCCCGGCUAACUUCGUGCCAGCAGCCGAAGUAAUAC